rnacentral:lncRNA from 1 species
CUUGUUUCAUCUCCUCCGCACCCCGUUCUUCUCAUCCUUCAGACCCUGUACAGUAGCUAAUACAAUCACUCCCUGACCCUGGACUGGUUAAGAUAAUGUUUGCUACUCUAACACAUACUCCUCAAAUCAGCAGCUGAAACCAGAGAGCUGGACUUCAUUCACACUCAAAUGAUGGUCAGUGGUGGUUUGGGGGGUGCUCUGUUCCAGGCAUCACUUAGUCCUCAUAAAGGGACCUUUAUGGGGGCCACCAGGGGCAUCAAUAUCCAGCCAGCAGAAGGAGAAAGAGAGUUGAGGGGGCUCAGGGCCCCGGCUCAAAAGUGGCGGAAAUUGCCUCUGCCCACCUUCCGUGCCCUUAUACCUGCACAGGAGCUGGAGGAGGCCACCUGGCCACGUGCCCUGGAAGAAGCAGGACAGGUGGCGGGAAUGUGACAGACAACAGCAACAUCACUGCCCGUCUUUCUGAUGGUAAAUAUCCUCCAGACCCAUCAAAUUGUCCAAGGCCAAGGUCACAUGCCACCUCCUCUCUGAAGACAUCUUUAACUUGCCUCCCUUUCUAAGCCCUGACCAUCACCCUCCUCCUCCUCAUGAUAAUAAUGAAAUAAUAAAACCAUCCGGAUGGAGAAUUUACUACGUGUU